GAGCGGCGGACGGGUGAGUAAUGCCUAGGAAUCUGCCUGGUAGUGGGGGAUAACGCUCGGAAACGGACGCUAAUACCGCAUACGUCCUACGGGAGAAAGCAGGGGACCUUCGGGCCUUGCGCUAUCAGAUGAGCCUAGGUCGGAUUAGCUAGUUGGUGAGGUAAUGGCUCACCAAGGCGACGAUCCGUAACUGGUCUGAGAGGAUGAUCAGUCACACUGGAACUGAGACACGGUCCAGACUCCU
rnacentral:rRNA from 1 species